UACGGGGGGUGCGAGCGUUGUCCGGAUUCACUGGGCGUAAAGGGCGCGUAGGCGGCCGGGUCAGUCGGGCCUGUAAGUGCGGGGCUCAACCCCGUGAUGGGCUCGGGACGGCACGGCUGGGGCGCGGCAGAGGGAGACGGAAUGCCGGUGUAGUGGGGAAAUGCGUAGAGAUCCGGCGGAACACCGGUGGUGAAGACGGUCUCCUGGGCCGAGGGCCGACGCUGAGGCGCGAGAGCGUGGGGAGCGAACCGG
rnacentral:rRNA from 1 species